rnacentral:rRNA from 1 species
CGGUUAAGUGAAUAAGGGCGUACGGUGAAUGCCUUGGUACUAGGAGCCGAUGAAGGACGGGACGAACACCGAUAUGCUCCGGGGAACUGUAAGUAAGUUUUGAUCCGGAGAUUUCCGAAUGGGGCAACCCACCAUAUUGAGAAGUAUGGUAUAUACUAAGUGAAUACAUAGCUUAGUGUAAGGGACACGCGGUGAACUGAAACAUCUCAGUAGCUGCAGGAAGAGAAAACAAAUGUGAUUCCCAUAGUAGCGGCGAGCGAAAUGGGAAGAGGCCAAACGAUCAUGCUUGCAUGAUCGGGUUGUAGGACUCAA